UACGGAGGGGGCGAGCGUUAUUCGGAAUUAUUGGGCGUAAAGGGCGCGUAGGCGGCUGGGCAAGUCAAAGGUGAAAUCCCUCGGCUCAACUGAGGAACUGCCUUUGAAACUGCCUGGCUUGAGGCCGGGAGGGGGUAGCGGAAUUCCCAGUGUAGCGGUGAAAUGCGUAGAUAUUGGGAGGAACACCAGUGGCGAAGGCGGCUACCUGGACCGGUUCUGACGCUGAUGCGCGAAAGCGUGGGUAGCAGACAGG
rnacentral:rRNA from 1 species